rnacentral:rRNA from 1 species
CGGCGUCGAGCGGCGGACGGGUGAGUAAUGCCUAGGAAAUUGCCCUGAUGUGGGGGAUAACCAUUGGAAACGAUGGCUAAUACCGCAUGAUGCCUACGGGCCAAAGAGGGGGACCUUCGGGCCUCUCGCGUCAGGAUAUGCCUAGGUGGGAUUAGCUAGUUGGUGAGGUAAGGGCUCACCAAGGCGACGAUCCCUAGCUGGUCUGAGAGGAUGAUCAGCCACACUGGAACUGAGACACGGUCCAGACUCCUACGGGAGGCAGCAGUGGGGAAUAUUGCACAAUGGGCGCAAGCCUGAUGCAGCCAUGCCGCGUGUGUGAAGAAGGCCUUCGGGUUGUAAAGCACUUUCAGUCGUGAGGAAGGCGGUGUAGUUAAUAGCUGCAUCGUUUGACGUUAGCGACAGAAGAAGCACCGGCUAACUCCGUGCCAGCAGCCGCGGUAAUACGGAGGGUGCGAGCGUUAAUCGGAAUUACUGGGCGUAAAGCGCAUGCAGGUGGUUUGUUAAGUCAGAUGUGAAAGCCCGGGGCUCAACCUCGGAAUUGCAUUUGAAACUGGCAGACUAGAGUACUGUAGAGGGGGGUAGAAUUUCAGGUGUAGCGGUGAAAUGCGUAGAGAUCUGAAGGAAUACCGGUGGCG